GACAUCUUGGCCGAGCGGUUAAGGCGACAGACUAGAACUUGAGUCUAGGAUAUCUGUUACGGUUUCCGUGCGCAGGUUCGAAUCCUGCAGAUGUCG